rnacentral:rRNA from 1 species
GAGGCCUUGCGCCUCCUGAAGGGCCCAGCGAGACUAGCUGGUUGAUAGGCACGGUGUGGAAGCACAGCAAUGUGUUGAGCUAACGUGUACUAAUGGCCCGUGAGGCUUGACCAU